rnacentral:lncRNA from 1 species
AAAUUCGAUGAGCGCGUCGGGCUCCAAGGCAGGCGCUGUCAGCCCGGGAGGGCUGUCUGGGAUUUCUAGAGGGUCCCAGAACGGGUUCUUCCCAGGCCGAUCCCGCCUGCUUCCUGCCCCGUCUCUCCACCCGCCUCCCGCCCUCUGUAAGGGACCCCGAGGGCGGCGCCGGAAACACGGAGAAGGCCCAGAACGGCGCGGGACCCGAGAGGCCUACGUUGGCAAACGCAGCCCGCUGCCCCUUUGCUCGCUUCCCCCGGGCCUGGAGUGGCUCCUGUCGCUUCUGGCGCUCCGAUUUCGAGAAAUGACUUUCAGCUGUGCAAGCCAACGAGUGGAUAAAGAAAAUGUGAUAUAUAUGCACUAUGGAAUACUAAGCCAUAAGAAGGAAUGAAAUAAUGGCAUUUGCAGCAACCUAGAUGGAGUUGGAGACCAUUAUUCUAAGUGAAGUAACUCAAGAAUGGAAAACCAAAUAUUGUAUGUUCUCACUCGUAAGUGGGAGCUAAGCUGCGAAGAUGCAAAGGCAUAAGAAUGAUAUAGUGGACUUUGAGGACUCAAGGGUUGAAGGAUGAGACUACACAUUGGGUACAGUGUGCACUGCUUGGGUGAUGAGUGCACCAAAAUCUCAGAACUCACCACUGAAGAACUUCCCCAUGUAACCAAAAACCACCUGUUCCACAGAAACUAUCGAAAUAACAUUUUUAAAACUUUACUAUUUCUGAAUAAAAUUUACAUACAUUUCUCAGAAAAAAAAAUAUUUGGAAUUGAGGUAUCUAAUAGAGAACUGAGUUAAAUUAUUGCCACUUAAAAACACAAAGUGAUAUAGCCACUUUAUGAAUUAAUCAGUCAGCAGUGGCUAGGUUAUGCUUAGUGGUUUAUAACCAAAUCUUAGUUUAUAACAACAAAUGUGUAUUGUUAAUUCCCACUACAAGUUUAUAACGACAUUGCUGGAUGCUACACUCCAUG